CUUUUUCCUAUGGGGAGCAACAGACUUCGGGGCUCUGACUCGUUCCCAGCCACACCCGUGGCCACACCAGCUGUCACGACAGGAGCACGAAAGACGUACGGACUUUAGAACCGCGUCUACCUACGUCCUGUUCCUUACUACCUGCCUCUGUGACCUUGAGCGAAUCUCCCACGGAUACCAGAGGAAAGCUACUUGUAAGAUUUGACGGAGAACACGAAUAUCUUUGUCGAGGGCUUGGCGCUUGUAUUUCCCAUCCCGGGAACAGCGUUUCUUGAUCCUCCACACCCCCUUUCUAGCCGAGGUCUAACUACCUAUAUGCUCACAGUUGGAAUGUCUUAUUUGCUCAGUUAAUGUCAGCCUUGUUUGUUUUUGCAUACUGACAUCAAAACUCGGUGGUACACGCAAAGAGAUCUACCACCGUUACACCACCCAGCUUCAACCGAGCUUGAACGCCUUUAAGAACGGACCACCUUCAUACGCUCAGUGCUAUUGCAAACCUGCUCAGUCAUCUAUCAGACACUUUAGCGAGUGGGCAGUGCGCUUAAUACUACCACGGGCCAGCAGAGGGCAGAUGGUGACCAGUCUUCUCACCCAAUCACACUUUCUCACCACCCAACAAACUCAAGAGCAAGACAAGUGAGCAGAUUUGUAGGCAAUAAACCCAAGGGGCCAGCCAGGAAUGACUUUGAAUCUGUUCAAAGCCCCCCCUGACUCAGAGACCUCUCCGACUACCUGUCUGGAUGAUCCCUGCAAACAAGAUGUGCUGGAAAACAUGAGACGCUGAAGGCGUUUGUUCGAAAAAGCACACACGGUCAGGCUUUGCCUAAAAGAUGGCUCAUUCAACCCAGCACGGUGGCGCACACCUUUAUACCAAAACUGGGAGGCAGGGGCAGGCAGAUGCCAGAGUUUCAAGCCCCCAGGAACAUUAUUUUGGCUUAGGCUUUAACAAGAUCCCAGUGACUGCUGUGUUGACUACAGGCUGGAAUGAAGGAGAGCAGGUCUGGCUGUCCUGGAACUCACUCUGUAUACCAGACUAGCCUCUAACGCACAGAGAUCCACUUGUCUCUGCCUCUGCUGGGAUUAAAGCUGUGCACCACUACCGCCUGGAGAUUUUAACUGCAGUUUUGAGAAGGGUAAUCAGUAUUCCAAGCACUCUCAUACAAAAUGUUCUUGUCAACUUGAAAAGAGCUUUUAUACUCUCAUUGUCAUUCAGAUGUAAUCUCUUUUGUAAUUUUUCUACCAUCAGAGAUUUCUUGUUUUCCCUAAAAUUCUAUAUACCAGAGUUAUAUAUAUAUUCUUUUCUAAGAUUCAUUUGUUCAAUAAGAUUUUGAGUUCAAUAUGAUAUAUCAAAUAAAUAUUAUUUUUUAUUGCUAAGUAGUGUUCCACUGCAUACUUACCACAAUCUGUCCAUUCUCAUGUUGACUGACCAUGUGUUCAGGUACUGGCUACUUUAAAAUUGAGGCUUAUCAGUUUGUAGCUGUUUCACAGAGCUCAGCAUGCCAUCUGCUUCCCCUUUUCUGCCUGGUGAGGCUUGCAAACCUGGCAUUUGUCUUGCAAUAAAGGGUUGGUUUUCAGACACUUACAAUAAGGACCACCACAGAAAGCAGAGAACAAAACUGAAGUUGCAGAUGGCCACAUCAGCAAUUCAGCUAUUAAACACCAAAUAGCAGCCUUCAAAUCAGUGAGAAACUCCAUUUAC
ensembl:antisense Gm16751 predicted gene, 16751